ACUCGCACUCACAUUCAAGACCUCUUCUGGCUUUGCCUCCAGGACCUGGGCUGUGGUGCAAGCUUGGGUGUCAUCUCUGAUAACCUUCUGGUGACCGGCGGCCAGGGAUGUGUCUCCUUUUGGGACCUAAACUAUGGGGACCUGUUACAGACAGUCUACUUGGGAAAGAACAGUGAAGCCCAGCCUGCCCGGCAGAUUUUGGUGCUGGACAAUGCUGCCAUUGUCUGCAACUUUGGCAGUGAGCUCAGCCUAGUGUAUGUGCCCUCUGUGCUGGAGAAACUGGACUGAAGGCAGGUCAACUGCACUAUGCCUUUCCCCCAUCCCAAGGUGGGGCACUGGGGAUUGCAACUCUUUGGACCUAGACUGGAGGCAAUAGGUAGGCAUCUUUGCAGCUGACUCAGAACUGUUGUCUCCUGACUGUAAUAAUAAACUUUUUUUUAAAA
rnacentral:lncRNA from 1 species